CAAGUCGAACGGCAGCACGGGGGCAACCCUGGUGGCGAGUGGCGAACGGGCGAGUAAUACAUCGGAACGUGUCCUGUAGUGGGGGAUAGCCCGGCGAAAGCCGGAUUAAUACCGCAUACGAUCUACGGAAGAAAGCGGGGGAUCGCAUGACCUCGCGCUAUAGGGGCGGCCGAUGGCAGAUUAGCUAGUUGGUGGGGUAAAGGCCUACCAGGGCGACGAUCUGUAGCUGGUCUGAGAGGACGACCAGCCACACUGGGACUGAGACACGGCCCAGACUCCUACGGGAGGCAGCAGUGGGGAAUUUUGGACAAUGGGGGAAACCCUGAUCCAGCAAUGCCGCGUGUGUGAAGAAGGCCUUCGGGUUGUAAAGCACUUUUGUCCGGAAAGAAAACUUCUGCCCUAAUACGGCGGGAGGAUGACGGUACCGGAAGAAUAAGCACCGGCUAACUACGUGCCAGCAGCCGCGGU
rnacentral:rRNA from 1 species